rnacentral:rRNA from 1 species
UACGUAUGGUGCAAGCGUUAUCCGGAUUUACUGGGUGUAAAGGGAGCGCAGGCGGCGCGGCAAGUCCGAUGUGAAAACCCCCGGCUCAACCGGGGGACUGCAUUGGAAACUACCGGGCUGGAGUGCCGGAGAGGUAGGCGGAAUUCCUGGUGUAGCGGUGAAAUGCGUAGAUAUCAGGAGGAACACCAGUGGCGAAGGUGGCCUACUGGACGGUGACUGACACUGAGGCUCGAAAGCGUGGGGAGCAAACAGG